CCGCAGCCCGGCUUGAGUGGAAAUCCUUUUUUGUGGCUGGAAAGCGUAGGCAAAAAAGAUUGGGAACGGAAGACGGAAAAGCU
rnacentral:sRNA from 1 species